CCGCCCCUCAUUGGGGAGUAGCCGCCCCGCAGCGCGUUCGCCAGGUCGUCAGGCCUCGGCUCACAGAACGUGCGCUCGCGGGGGCGCCUGUCAACAGACUUGGCCGUCCCGGCCAUGGCAGCCGCAGCCUCUGGCCUGGCGAGACCGAUGACCCACACCCCGCCGCAACUGGGCCCGGCGUGUCGUGGGUCGUCGCUCGUACAUUUCUCGGCCCGAGGAU
rnacentral:sRNA from 2 species